rnacentral:tRNA from 1 species
GAGUUGUUAGCUCAGCCGGACAGAGCAAUUGCCUUAUAGUCAAUCGGUCAGUGGUUCGACUCCACUACAACGCGCCA